rnacentral:lncRNA from 1 species
CUCGUACCUCCGGCUUGCCCCACCUGGCUCACCUCCCAGGAGCCACACAUGCAGACAUUUCAGCAGAGGCCUCAAAGGCAGAACAAAAUAGUGCAAGGAGCCGCACAUCCGCACAGUGCUGAGACCCUGCCCAGGACAAGCUUGAUCCUGGCACCCAAGUGACAACCUGCAUUGAAAAGGCGGAACUUGGCUCUCCUGCCCUGCCAGCUGUAAGAGCUUGAAAGCAAAGCUAUGGGGGGAAUGUCUUUCAUUUCCCCCUGGAAGCUGGGAGGACGUUCAGCUUAGCAUUGCCAACUGUGUAAUGUGGACUUGCCUCUAAAAGAAGCCUUUUUCCUUGGAUGUCUUUCAGGCCGCAGUAUUCCCUUUGGCACCCCCACCCACCUGGAACAAAGCCUGAUGUAAAGUCUGGGUGCGACUCAGACCGGCCUGGGAAAGAAUUUAUUUAAUAAAUGGUGGAAAGUGGCUUC